rnacentral:sRNA from 1 species
AUACAUGGCAAUUGUUUUAAAUACUAAAUCACACACGAGUCGACACAUUUCCCGGGGUGCCUUAAAGGUCGGGAAUAUGGGAUUCGUGGAGGUAUAACC